rnacentral:lncRNA from 1 species
UACUUCUCGAUGACCUUGCCGUCUCCAACCCAUCCGUGGGUAUUUCAACUCCCCCUUUUUUUUUUUUCUGCGCACAUUUGCUCUACUGUCAUUUUGCCUGGUAUGCUCUCAUUUUCUUAGAUUUAGAUUUUCUUGUUCUAUCUCCUCCCAUUUUCUAUUUGUUGUUCUUUUCUCUGUUUUUAAUUUGUUUUUUUACAUCCUAUUUUAUUUAUUCUUUUUGGCUACGACAUAAUGAAUGGAUUAUUGCUUUAUUUGGCCUUUAUUAUAUUGUUUCCCAUCUACUAUAUGGUUCACUUUGCUAGCUAUAAAAAAAGCAUUAUGGGUUACUGCCUGGUGGACCUCUGAAUAUUUUUUCACCUCAGCUUGAUUGACAAGCUCACCGGCAGCUUGAUUGACAAGCUCACCGGCAGGAAAUGUAGUAUGAGAUGAUUUUUUUUAAUUUCUCUAGCUUUUCUUAUUGGUAUGUACAGAAAGGACAAAGUCGUAUACUUAAUAUCGAGUCUUAUUCAUCUGCAUUUAUGGAAUACCAUUGAAAAUCUUGAAUUACUUCUGCUUUGAUGGGUAAUCUAUCACUAAACAGAAUAUAGCUUCCAGCCUUCACACAUAGAGACUAAUUUAGUACUUCGGUUUUGGGCUGUCCUAUUUUCUGUGUGGUCGAACAGGAAAGCUAAAUGUACAGUUUAUUUGCUCGGCACCAUUUAUUGUGCCACAUAGAAGUACAUCUUUUUCUUAUUUUUUCUAAUGCAAUCAUCAAUACAGUACCUUAGUUAACCUUCCCAAUUUUUGUUCUCUUUUUGGUCAUACAUUAGGAUUAUUGUGGAUUUUCUGAAGGUGUUGGCGGGGGUUGCACGGCAUGUUCCGUCUGGUUUCAGGAGUGUGUGCUGCACCUGAAAAAAUUUCUCGGGUUGUCUCUCUACAUAUUUCCACGUUAGUUGUGAUAUUUUAUUUAUUGCUCUGCAAUCGACAGUUUGACCUCAUGCUAGGGCAGCCUCAGCCAGUUGCCUCUUCUAUCAAAGGUAAAGAACAGAAGCCUUUUUAUUGAUAUUGCUGUAUGGAAAGUUUACUGGAAAUUAUGAUUCUAAGUGGGUGUGAAUAACGUGCUUUGUCUUGAAAUAAUGACAUGGAGAAACUAUAGUUUCCAUACUAAACUUGGUAUUUUGAUUCACACAAAGUUUCCGUCUACUGAUGAUUAAACCCAUACUUGCCAUAUGAAUAAAGUGACAUCAAAAGGGCACUGAACAACAGAGAGAAUUAAGGAUGCCUUAUAAGCAUGUUUUCACUUAAGAUAGAUUUGUAUGACUUCACAAAUAUUCCUGUCAAUAUAGAUUGUAAAGUAGCAGUAGCUUAUACAGAUAGCUGCAGUUGUUGGCUGCACAUGACAACUUCAUGUUAUUCUGCGCUCACCAUAAUAAUCAUUUUUUUUUGUUCCAUGUAAAGUGGCAUGCUUCUUUCUUGCUAAUUGUCAAUUCUUUUGUACGCUAGACAAUGAGGGUAUGUAGAUAACAUGUAUGGUUUUUACAUUGUUUUGCGCAGGUUGAGAUGCAUCACAUGAUGUUUUCCUUUUACAUUUAUGGGUAUUACAGAACCCUUUCUUUUUCCACAAGGGGUAGUAGCUGUGCCAUUCGAUUCGGAGGACAAAGAGUUGAUCACAAAGGGGUAGCAUUCAGGACAUAUACAUAAAAGAGUAUAGAACCAAAUUACAUGAUGUAAUUGACCACUAUUUCUAUUAACUUCUCCUGUAGCCAAUGUUCACAAGUUCAUGUAUUAAGUACAUCUUAUUGUGUCACUUGUGUUUACUCCUUUUUUAAUGCAAGUUUACUGCUACUCUCUACAAGUUCAUGUAUUAAGUACAUUUUAUUAUGUCACUUGUGUUUACUCCUUUUUUAAUGCAAGUUUACUGCUACUCUCUACAAGUUCAUGUAUUAAGUACAUUUUAUUGUGUCACUUGUG